CUCUAAGAUUGAUUGUAGUUAAAUGGCUUGUUACGGGUAACACGACACUGAACUAAGCUGGUUCACGGCUCCCUAUGCGCGUCGUCAAGUUGCGCCAAGCUAUAUUGUGAUAUAUUAGAGAGCCAGCUCAGACACUGAACACGAUCGGUCAUUUCUGCAGCAGUUACGAAAAGGGGCGAGGAUUACCGAAUACAGUUCAUCGGUGGCCAUUUUUAGGAGCAGCGGGGAAUUUGACAGUUGUGUGGAAUAUGUGUUUGCCUUGCAUGCCAGCAAUAAGGCAGUGUGGCAAAGGGAUAUCCCAGCGGACCUGAUAUUCCUACAGAAGAAAUGUUUCACAACCUCGUCAAAAUUGGCCAAAUAUUGAGAUUGCAGCUGAGGUCAUGUUGGCAGCUGGAGGGACAUAUUCAGAUGUGAAGAUACAAAGAACAAAUUUAAUGACAGGGAAGUUUUGAAUCAGUGAUCAUUGUGAAGUGGAAGAUAAGACAUUUUAAGGACGACCCACAUUCGACCCACCUUAAACCUACUUUCAACUCGUUGAUAAUGGACAGUGAUCACUCUCGUGUGAAGCCUGGUGUGAAAGUUGUCACCAAAGACGCCAGGCAGAUGGAGAAAAAUGCACAGAACGCCCUCAAACAGAGGAAAUGGAGGACGAUGAAGGCCAUGGUCCGUGCCGCGGAAAAGCUCCAGAAAGAAGUCCCCGAAAUGGAGUUUAUCAUUGUUCUAUCAUAUCCAGGUAGUAUGAAGUUUGCCGGCUCGGGAGCAAUGCUCGAUUGCUUCAAGAAAGGAGAGCCCUUGACAGUUGGUAAGCCAGCCGGUAUCAAUUACACCGCAGACACCCAAAGUGAAGUUGUAGAUUUUCUAUCAACACCACCCUUCGUGGAAGUGGCCACCCCAGAGUGUCUUGGGACAGCGACGACAGGGGAACAGCUACAGGAGAUGUAUAACAGCGUAAGACAACAAUUAAUACCUGAUGUCCCACAGGGCGCCCAACUGGACGUGGAUGAUAACCCUGAACCAGCAGCGAGGGAGCCUAAAAGAGUCAGAAAAGCCCACGAUAUCGUCAGCUCAGCUGGGAACAUCAGCGGCAUAGAACCACUACCCACCAGGACUACCAGAGGAAGAGCCGCUGCUCGGGACAUCACAGCGGAAGUCCAAGCAUCACCCACCAGGACUACCAGGAGAGCCGCUGCUCGGGACGUCCAAGCAUCACAAACCCAGGAUAAUCCUGCCCGAGGGCCGACUGGAUCCAUGAGUGUCGCCAGCAUACGACCCGAGGCAUUCGUGUAUGUCUCCCUGCCGACCCAGUCAAACAGGGCUGUGCCGUUUGUCUCGGAGGUUACUUCAGAGAACCCACUCAGGGUGAAGUACCUUUAGCCCAACAAAGCGAAAGGAUCCUGGAGGUUCCCAGAGCAGGGACAGGGACACAAUCAACAGUGAAAGUAUUAUCAAGGUACCUGGAUUUCACUGUGACACCAGCUCAGACAAGCCAUACAAAGGACUCACCGGAUGAUGAAUAAUCCUUCCCAGAACAACCAACAGGUUCACCUCAGAAAGUGAUGAUCCUUAAUGAAUAAUGCCACAUUAGUGUGAUUCUGUAGAUUGUUUUAUUACGACACCAAUCAAGUCUGAAGGAAUUAAUACCACAGCAGUGUGACUAUGUUUAUGUGGUGUACACAGUACACCAACGCUGACUAUACAAAUCUGAAGGACUUUUGUGGUUUACUGCACAAACAUAAUUGACUUUACAUAUUCUUCUACCUUGGAAUUCUUCUGAGAUUUGACUAAUUUGUUUAUUUAGAAAAUGGCAUUGAAGCAUCUGUUUCUGUUUGUGAAAGUUCUUGCAAACACCACUGCUUUCUGAACCAGUGAAAUGUCAUAAAAUCAAUAAAUAUGACUUUUUAUCUAAACAAAUUCUUUGUUUUGCUUCAUUAG